UGCCAGCCGCCGCGGUAAUACGGAGGGUGCAAGCGUUGUUCGGAAUUACUGGGCGUAAAGCGCGCGUAGGCGGCGCAUAUAGUUAGAGGUGAAAGGCCUGGGCUCAACCUGGGAACUGCCUUUAAUACUGAUGUGCUAGAGUCCGAGAGGGGGUGGCGGAAUUCCCAGUGUAGAGGUGAAAUUCGUAGAUAUUGGGAGGAACACCAGUGGCGAAGGCGACUUCCUGGACGGAUACUGACGCUGAGGCUCGAAAGCGUGGGGAGCAAACAGGAUUAGAUA
rnacentral:rRNA from 1 species